ensembl:lncRNA LINC00479 long intergenic non-protein coding RNA 479
AAAUAGAAGAUUGUGGAUCCCUGGGAACGCAGAGCAGGAAUGCGUGGCAGGAAGGAAUCUCCCAGGGAUUCACAGUUCACCCCUAAAUCAAUCCGUGGGGCCCGAGGGGCAAAGUAUCUGAGUGACCCAGCCCUCAGUCUUGUGUCCGUUCCUGAGAAGGAGCUCAGCCUUGCCCCUCAGGAGCUGCAUGUACCAAAUACCACAGAUGGAGGCGUGACACAGACUGUCCACUGCAGAGACCAUGGACGGAGGCAGCCUCCGAGCCAGCCCAGCAGCCAUGGACGGAGGAGCCUUGGAGCCAGCCCAGCAGCUCUCCUCACUGGAGGGGUGGACGGGACAGGACCGGCUGCUCAUUCCACGCUGGAGGGAGGCCAGGAGUCUCAGCUGGAUGCAGUCACCUGACCUGGAGAGUUCAAAGUGCCUAACACAGGGAUGCUGCUACCCACAAGCCUGGAUCCUGGCGUGCUCCGCGGCUCUCCUUCAAGCCCUGGCCUCAUCAGACCUCCAAGGCUCCCUAGACAGGGUUAAUUAUUCACGUGGCCUGGGACCCAGGGUUCGUUUGUUUGUUUUUCCCGACACAGUAGGGUCCACGAGGAAGUCAGGAUCCACCGGCAAUAUUUGCAGUGUUAUGUUGAAUGUGGCAACUGGCUGCGUGAGGAUAGAGAAGUAAACAGCAUGUCCGGUGGCAGUCGGUUACCACACAGAAUUUAGGAGGCCCAGUGAAAUGCAAAUGCUAGGUAAGUGACACGUAAGUUUUUGAUAUAAGCAUAUCCCAGGCAACAUUUAUUUAUUGGAAAUUGAAACUCACAUUUAACCGGCCAUAUUAUUUUUUUUAAAUUUUUUUGUUCUCUAAAUCUAUCUUUUGUUUGCCGAAUUUCUAGCAACCUUAGAUGGAGAGGUGGCUCUGAGAUUAGCAUCCCCACAGGCCCACCUCUGGCUGGAGAGACAAAGGGAGGUGGGGUGCUGCCGGGGAGGGAGAGCCAAGGUCUACUUCCACGCCGCUCCCAGACCUGGGGCCAGAGGCCCGCUUGCUGGGGGCUGGGGCUCAGAGGGGAGCGAGCGGCUGCUGUCAGGCUGUCUGAAAAUGCUGUGCGGAUUCCCCGAUUUUCUCUCGCCUGGCAGGUCACCUGGCCCACACUCUCCUCCCCUGAUCCCCUGAGUGCUCCCCUCCCCCUGCAGGUCCCCCUCCCCUCUGGGUGAGCCUGGAUGCCAGCACCCUGUUCCGCCCGCCCAGCAUGCAGAACAAAAGCACAACGCACAGAAACACAGCCGGUGCGCGCAGGGCGGCAGGCUGGCUUCUCCCUCCCUCCUGCCGAGGUCUCCGGCCCCUUCCCCCUUCCCUCCUUCCCUCCCCUCUCCUCUUCUAUUAGAAAAUGGGAGUGUUAGGGUUGAAUUGUGUCCCCCCAAAACAGGUAUGUUGGGGUCCUGAUUCCCAGUCCCCUAGAAUGUGACCGUGCUUGGAGAUAAGACCUUUACAGAGUAACUGAUUAAAAUGAGGUCAUUAGCAGGGACCCUAGUGCAGCAUGACUGGUGUCCUUUCAAAAAGGAGAAAUUUGGAUACAGACAUAGACACACACUGAGGGAAGGUGAAGUAAAGGGGCAAGGAGAAGACGGCCUGCAACGGGAGUGACGCCCUUACAAGCCGAGGGACGCCUGGCAGUGCCAGCUGACACCAGGAGCAGGGAGAGGCCAGGAAGCCUGGCAGUGCCAGCUGACACCAGGAGCAGGGAGAGGCCUGGAACGGUUCUCCCUGGAGACAUCCGGGACACACCUUGAUUUCAGGAUUCCAUGAUAGCUUCCAGAACUGCCAAAGAACGCAUUUCUGUGUUUUCAGCCACCCAGUCUGUGGUAUCUUGUGACUGCCGCCCUAGGAAAGUAAAACAAGGAGUUAAUUCAUGAAGGGUGGGGGAAAUACGUACCCUUUGAAAUACCACCUAGAGGAAGGGGUAAUAGUACACCCGAUCAUGUGCUCCAGUUUAUGAAAUAGUUGCACGUCACUCGGAAUUUUGAAAAACAAUAUAUUUUCAGGACUC